rnacentral:rRNA from 1 species
GUGCCAGCAGCCGCGGUAAUACCGGCAGCCCGAGUGAUGGCCGAUCUUAUUGGGCCUAAAGCGUCCGUAGCCGGCCUCGCGAGUCCGUCGGGAAAUCCAGUAGCUCAACUACUGGGCGUCCGACGGAAACUGCACAGCUUGGGACCGGAAGGCCUGAGGGGUACGUUCGGGGUAGGAGUGAAAUCCCAUAAUCCCGCACGGACCACCGAUGGCGAAAGCACUUCGAGAAAACGGAUCCAACAGUGAGGGACGAAAGCCAGGGUCUCCAACCGGAUUAGAUACCCGGGUAGUCC